rnacentral:tRNA from 1 species
GGGCGGUUAGCUCAGGGGUAGAGCGAUGGCAGUUAUCGAAGAGUUGUGUGUUUUUAAUCUCUUUUCAUGGUAUUGGUAGUUAAGUUUUUUCUUCGGCAAAGCUAUAGGUCGCGAGUUCAAGUCUCGUACCGCCCA